rnacentral:rRNA from 1 species
AGCAGCCGCGGUAAUUCCAGCUCCAAUAGCGUAUAUUAAAGUUGUUGCAGUUAAAAGCUCGUAGUUGAAUUUCGGGAUCAAAUUGUCGGUCGUGCCUCGGUACGCACUGGUAUUAUUGGUUCCUACCUUCUGAAGAACCGCGAUGUCAUUAAUUUGGUGUCGUGGGGAAUCAGGACUGUUACUUUGAAAAAUUGAGUGUUUAAAGCAGGCUUACGCUUGAAUACAUUAGCGUGGAAUAAUGAAAUAGGACGUUUGAUUCUAUUUUGUUGGUUUCUAGGAUUGACGUAAUGAUUAAUAGGGAUAGUUGGGGGCAUUAGUAUUCAAUUGUCAGAGGUGAAAUUCUUGGAUUUAUUGAAGACUAACUACUGCGAAAGCAUUUGCCAAGGAUGUUUUCAUUAAUCAAGAACGAAAGUUAGGGAUCGAAGACAAUCAGAUACCGUCGUAGUCUUA